rnacentral:lncRNA from 1 species
AUGCCUACCAAGGUAAUGGAUACCAAGAGACUGCUGAGGAGGAGAAAAGUAGUGCUGAGGGCUUUAAUGAUGGGUGAAGAGGAGUCAGAGGCAGCACUGCCUUCCUGUUCUUAUCCUGUGAACCUAGAGAAUGCUCACUUAUUAAGAGAUGAGAAUAAAAGAGGCAUCAACAGCUACACUCUGAGGAAGUAAUUGGCUUCAUGACCAGAGGGGUUGUAGGAGAUAAGAUAUAUCUUGCUGUUAGAAAUGGAUUUGACAUUGUUCCAUAUUGCAAGCAAACAAUAGAAUAGAGUCUAGAGGCAAAGUGAAAAAUGACUCCCAUAGAUGAGUUACCAAUGUUCUGCUUCAAACUGAGAGGAAUUCUAAGUUAGGUUCCAGCAGAGUCUGUCCUGAGGUCAUUUCCAUUCAAUAUUAUAAUUAAGCACUUGGAUAGCAGAAAGGAGAAUGUGCUUACAAAAUUUAUGAGUAAGAACACGCUGGAAGAGAGGGCAAGUACUGUGAAGGGCAGAACUAUCGGAACAAAUUGGAAUCAUGGUCGACAAUCAGCAAGAUAAAUUCAGUUUAAUAGAGCUGGAGAACCAACGCUUAUGAAGCAGGAAUGAGACACACAAAAACAAAAUAAGGAAUGACCAUCAGCCAGCUACACAGCAGAAGGAAUCCAGAGUUUUCCUGGAUAGCAAGAUAAAUAUAAACCAAUAAUACAAUAGUGUCACAAAAGACACUAUGAAAUAAUGUGUUUUGGG